UCCAGGUUGCUGUAACAAGAAGCGUGUCCAGCCUCCAGGGCUAAUAAGAGCACGUUGUCCUUGGUGGCAGGAGGGAGCACCUUGCUUUAUCUAUGCAUUCCCUGGCAAGCAGCAGUGCUGGAGAAAGAGACGUGUCUCACUGCCCAGUGUCCAGUCCCUGGCAAGCCAAAUCAUUCUACACGCUCAGAAACUGAAGACACAAAAUCACCAAUGGAACAGUGCUGAUUGGGUCAGAGGUGCAAAGAAAUCAGCUCUCCACUCCAUGAGCCAUCCUCCAGCUCACAGCUGGUACAAAUGGGUACAUCCUUAGCAGUUCAAUCACUACUGUCCCAUUGGCUAGAAAUGUUGCCUUUUCUGACAUUAGAGUAUAUACAGGUUCAGCCCAGAUGUCAAUCAUGGAACUGAAUGUGCAGUUGUAAUGAUGGGCAAAAACUCCAGUGCUUGGUUUUAUUUGAGCAAUGCUCAAGAGUCAAGAUAUCCUGCUUAGAGCAUUAAAAAGUUCCCUGUACUUUGUUCACUUACAAGCAACACAGUGGCUCUGCCUCAUACCAGAAAGUCCAUUCCCUAACAUCACAUUUCUUGGAAUAAUAGGAAAAGAAAAACAAUUGCAAUUUUUUUUGGGGGGGAGGGGAUGUUUAUAGUUUAUGUUUUACUCUUAAGUCCAGAAAUCUUUUGGUUCUGGUAGGAGCUGUGCCACCUUGUUACUGAGAUUGGCUUUCUGUACAGGCCUUCAGCAGGGAUUUUACUCCAUUGAGGAGUUUUCUGUUUUGUUUGGGGAUGUUUUUGUCUUGGUGACAAUUUUGGGUCAUGCCAAAUCUCCACGUGAAGAUCUCAGUUACACAGCUGCAGCCCCACCUUUCUGCGAAGAAACACCGAGAGCAUUCCUCCCCCUCACAGACAAAGAGAGUGAGCUCUGUGCCCAGAACAACUCAGGCUUUCCUGGUAGCAAAUACCUGUUUCUGUAGUCACUCAAAGGAAAAGACGUGUUGGUGACUUUUUUUUCCUUUUUUGUUCUUUCCACAGGGAAGAAUAUUAAUUUGUACCCAAAUUCUGUUUGGGCAUUUUUGUUUAUUGGUAUUUUGGGUUUUGUUUUGGGUUUUUUUGGUUGAUUGGUUGGUUGGUUGUUUCGGGUUUUUUUUUUUUUUUGUGUUCUUUUUGUUAAGGCAUCACUAUGUAAGGAGUGUCAAACUGAAGCUGUGUCCCGAAUUGUUAGCAGUGUGGCUUUGCAGUGUUGUGGACAGUGAGCUGGCCCAGGUGUGACUCAUUGCACAGCCAGAGGUUAUAAUGAAGUAUCCCACUCAUCCUUUAGCUCACCCUUUGUUCAAGACAAUGCAGAUUGCAGAAGGUUUCUGAGGAGGAGUAUCUGGGAUAAGUUGCUGGGAAGAAGGAAUAAGGAGCACAGUGCUAUUGGAAAGAAUGUCUUGCUGCUGAUUAUGAAAAUGAUGUAGAAGUCGUGGGCUGAAUUAAAUAUUUUUCCAUAUUGGAAAAUUGAUGGGAAAGCUUCCUUGUAUCAACAGCUCAUGUGAAGCAGAAGAAGAGAUCCUUUUAUCACAGAAGAAGAGUGUCAAAAUCCAGAGCUAUUCUGAAUCAAUUUGCUCUUUUAAUUGUCUUGUGCAGACGUCUGUCUCUGCAGCAGAAAUGCUGAGCUCAUGCUACAUGAAAACAAACCACAUAAACUUGAGGAGAUACAAACACAAUUUGUUCCUAACAGAAGGAGCUUUCAAAGCCACACAGUCCAGUGUGCUGGCAGCUCAUCUCCCUCCCCAAGGGGGAGGAUGCAUGUCCUGUGUCCAGUCUGAGUACCCUGGAGCAGUAACAGGGGCAGAACUAUUGGGGUAUUUGGCUUUUUUAAAGCUGCAACAUAGAGCUGUGGCAGUGCCAAAAGUGUCCCUGGUCUGCUCUGUCUCAUUGCUGAGGGGAAGGAACUGUGACUCAAAGGCUGUCCACUGGCAACACAAAAAACUGCACCAAGAGCACUGGUUCAGCUCUGCCAUAUCCAAUUUCUGUCAAGUGUAGAAUAAUAGCUAUCCAGCGAGCUGGGACAUGCUUCACCAGCAUCAAUAGAGUUGUGCUUCAGAGCAUCCCUCGAGGUAGCAAAGAAUUAUCCCCAUUUUAUAAAUGAGGUAACUCAGGCUCAGGGAUUAAAGCCAGAAUGUUCCAAACUGGCUGCCUACUGCUAGGUACCUACACCCAUAUUUACGCAACUUGUGGCCUGAUUUUCAGAAGGGCAGGGCAAUGAAAAUUUUGGCCUGAGGGAUUUGUUCACACACAGUUUACUGGUAACAACGCCCAGGAUGGAAGCCUGGUCUCUGCUACCUGUCUUACACCUUAACCACUGAAAACAUCCUCUCUACCACUAGCCAAGCCUCAGGUGAAGGCUCCUGAGUGUCCCCAUUCGCCAUGCAGAGGUUCAGAGUUAGCAGUGCAGGCUGGCUGCCUGUGUGCUCCCAGCUAGAGACUUUUAAAGAGCAACAGCAGGAGUAAAACUGGUGAGAUUUCUUUGCUUCUUUCUCAGCUCUUCAGAGCCCAGGCAGCUUUGCUUGACUUGCAGUGCUUUGUUAAAACAGCAUGUCUGGUGUGUAAACUUCUGUUCUACCUCACACAUGGCAUCAUCUCUCCCCUCUGUCACUUCACCAUGUCCUACUCAGGACACCUCAGCCUGGCAGAGCACAGAUCCAGUGCAAAACCAGUAACAGACCAGUAAGAGAAGGGAGAAAACUGGCCAGAUGGAUACCUGAACUGCUCAAAAGCACAAGAACCAAUAGAAGCAGGUUAAUCCCAGUGCCCCCUCACCUCUCUUCUGCACUCUCUUUCUGGUCUUUGAGCCUCAGAAAUAGCCCUGAUUUAUUGGAAGGUCUUGAGAAGCAGGAAAAUGGAGUAAAAAACCUACUCCCAUACUCUCAACUAGCAAAACCCAGGAGGCAGAGCACUUGCUGGCUGGCUACAAUAGAGCUUUGCAAGUGUCCCUGCUAAAAUCAUCCCUGCUAGGGGCUAAAGUGAUGCUUGUCUUAGCUUGUUAGAGAGCCUUGCUGUCUUUAGACACAUACUAGAAAAACAAUGCCGGUGGUUGGCUGCUACCUGAGGGAAGAAGGACAAAGGAUCUCGGCUGUCUCUGUGCAGUGGUCACUGGUCAGGUCAGCUCAAGCCUGACCUGCAAUACCAAGUGCAUGCUGCAAAUCCAUUGCUGUCAGCCCUUGUGCUUUGUCUCAUCUUUGGAGUCCCAGCCACCUCUGACCUCUUCCUUCCCUUCCUCCAGGCCAUGUCCUGCUCAUGAGGCUCCUGCUCAGCUGCUCUGCAGCUUCCCCCCACCCGGAGGGGGGACAGGCGAGAAGAGGUGACAACUUUCAGCAAAGGUUAAAGCUGGAAAAGAAGGAAGUGUCAGCUCAAUCAGGUCAGCUCAGCCACCCAGCUGCUGCUGUAAUCCCUCUGCCUCAGGUCCCUGUGCUGUUCUGCUCAUGCUCUGAGUGCUACUGUGUGAGCAGCAGCCUUGUCCCCAUGGUGCUGUCAGCCUGCAGCAUCCAGACAGGGAGAUGGGGAAAGGGGGUAAAGAGGAAGCAGCUGAUCAUGACAAUCUCCCAGAACUGUUUCCAUAUCCUCCUUUUGCAGUUUUGGGAGCAUGGAUUUGGAGAUGGACUAAAGUUUGGAAGUCCAGACUUGACACCCUCUGAUUUCUCCAGAAGAAGGCUGAGGGCUGGGUCUGAAUCAAUUCUUAUGCUGCAGCUCGUCUCCAUAUUCACAGCAAACCCAGAAGCUUUGUGAAGCUGGCAGUGACAUGGCCCCAUUUCCUUCUGCCCAGGUCAGAGGUGCCUCUUUUGGGAUGGGAGCAACUGAGUCUCACCAGUCUGUCAGCAACCAGGAGGAAGCCAGGGAACAAAUGCUUCCUAUUCAAUAAAAGUUGGUGCUGCACUUCAUACAGCAGCCAGUGCAUUAUUCUGUGGUGAAAACAAACCCUAUUCUUCUCUGCCAGAUAAACACAUUUUAUCCUAUAAAGAGCAGCAUUUCUGACUGUUCAGCAGCAGCCAAACUCAUGAUGGGAAAAAUAACAGGUGUUUGUAAGACACUCCCUGUUUAUUCACAGUGCUUAAAAUAAUUGCUUUAAAAAAUGCAGCAGAGAUUUAAUUUUCUAUGCUCCCACAUUUAAAAAAACAAAAACAAGAAAACCCCUAAGCUUGGCUCAUGGUAGUUGAA